UACACACCGCCCGUCACACCAUGGGAGUGGGUUGUACCAGAAGCAGGUAGUUUAACCGCAAGGGGGGCGCCUGCCACGGUAUGAUUCAUGACUGGGGUG
rnacentral:rRNA from 1 species